GGUUGCUAUCGCUUCAACGAUGGGAGUUUCAAGAGAGACCUAGAUUGCAAGAACGUCGAGAAAUGUUUAACAACCACCAAAAUUUUGGCACCAAUUUAUGAAGAAAAUUCAAAAUGUUUUAUCAACUGGAAAACAUCAAGUUACUUGGUAGACAAUAAGCCUUGGCAAUAUGUACCAAAACCUGACAAUGAUAUCACCAUUUCUCCUGCAGAGAAUUCCAGAGGAAUUUACAUAAAGG
rnacentral:lncRNA from 1 species